rnacentral:rRNA from 1 species
UACAGAGGUCCCGAGCGUUGUUCGGAUUCACUGGGCGUAAAGGGUGCGUAGGUGGCUUGAUAAGUUCGAUGUGAAAUCUCCGGGCUCAACCCGGAAAAUGCAUUGAAUACUAUCGGGCUGGAGGUUUGGAGGGGGGACUGGAAUUCUCGGUGUAGCAGUGAAAUGCGUAGAUAUCGAGAGGAACACCAGUGGCGAAGGCGAGUCCCCUGGACAACACCUGACACUGAGGCACGAAAGCUAGGGGGAGCAAAACAGG